rnacentral:rRNA from 1 species
GACGAACGCUGGCGGCGUGCUUAACACAUGCAAGUCGAACGGAAAGGCCCUGCUUUUGUGGGGUGCUCGAGUGGCGAACGGGUGAGUAACACGUGAGUAACCUGCCCUUGACUUUGGGAUAACUUCAGGAAACUGGGGCUAAUACCGGAUAGGAGCUCCUGCUGCAUGGUGGGGGUUGGAAAGUUUCGGCGGUUGGGGAUGGACUCGCGGCUUAUCAGCUUGUUGGUGGGGUAGUGGCUUACCAAGGCUUUGACGGGUAGCCGGCCUGAGAGGGUGACCGGCCGCAUUGGGACUGAGAUACGGCCCAGACUCCUACGGGACGCAGCAGUGGGGAAUAUUGCACAAUGGGCGGAAGCCUGAUGCAGCAACGCCGCGUGCGGGAUGACGGCCUUCGGGUUGUAAACCGCUUUCGCCUGUGACGAAGCGUGAGUGACGGUAAUGGGUAAAGAAGCACCGGCUAACUACGUG